rnacentral:tRNA from 1 species
GGAGGCAUGGCUCAGUGGUAAAGCACCCACCUAGUAAGUGCAAGGUCCUGAGUUCAAGCCCCAGUACCACAA